UACAGAGGGUGCGAGCGUUGUUCGGAAUUAUUGGGCGUAAAGGGCGCGUAGGCGGUGCGGUAAGUCACCUGUGAAAUCUCCUGGCUCAACUUGGGAGCUUGCAGGCGAAACUGCCGUGCUGGAGUGUGAGAGAGGUGCGUGGAAUUCCUGGUGUAGCGGUGAAAUGCGUAGAUAUCAGGAGGAACACCUGUGGCGAAAGCGGCGCACUGGACCACAACUGACGCUGAGGCGCGAAAGCUAGGGGAGCAAACAGG
rnacentral:rRNA from 1 species